CUUCUCUGAAGAUGCCUUUGGAUCUUGGUAAAGAGGAAGCUGGCCUAUACAAACUGUCGUGGGUGCCUCCUUCCCCUUCUCCCUCUCCUGGUUCUCCUCUUACUUCUGUAUGUGCUUUGUCUGACUUUUGUAAUGAUGACAAUGUGUCUGACAGCAAAAAUCUUGGCUUGCCUACAAUUGUAAACAAUUCCAUUUGUAAUAA
rnacentral:lncRNA from 1 species